CAUCCAAUAACCCUGCAAGAGAGUCUUCCGCGUAGGCUGUAACAAGUGGAGUUUCAAACUAUAGAAAUCAACAUUUCUUAAAGGACGAAAAUAUCACAUUAGAAUAAACGCCCGCAUUUACACAUACACAGUACGUCACCUUUUUUUUUUUUUUUUUUUUUUUAAAUCAUUUUGAACGUGUAUUCUAAAUUUGACUCAAGCAUUAUUCAGUCGGUCCCCCCAAAAAAUAAAAACAAUGAAAGUCAUAUUGGAGAGAAAGAGUUAAAAACUGAGAGACGCCUUCCUCUCACUCACAUUUCCGCGACGUGUCGCACGCGGGGGGAGGAAAAAAAAGAGGAUUUAGAGAUUUAUUUCUUUUAAAAAGUGUCCUCUCAUCCGCAGAGCAGCUGUGUGUCACUAUAGACUGCAGGCCUACAUGCAGCAUGCAUACCGCUCCGUGAAGAAGAUGUUUCAACAGCAAGAUUUACACGCAAACGAAGACGUAUAUUUUUUGCUCUCCAAAGUUGGAUUUCUUUCAGCUUUCAACUGAACAGAGGGAUUUCUUUGUGUCGUUCUUGGGAAACGCAGCAGAAGCACAGGAGUUGGCCUACAAACAAACGGAUGCAAUUAAAAUCACUGUCAUCAUCACGAAAGAGACGAGGGGGGUAGAAGGACGACCGCAAGGUCAAGUCAAGGUUGACGGAAGGAGAAGAAGACCGCCCCCAAAGACACUAACGUGAACUCAAACUUUUCAGUCUUAUUUAUUGCAUGAAGUCAGGUGUAUAAAAAGUGCACAAAUACCUUUUUUUUUUUUUUUUUCUGUAAUUGAAUUGAGUACUUACCGAUACUUGCUAAUAUCCGUGGCUUGAAAUGUCAAAUUCACUUACAGGGAUUUUCAAAGAGUAAAAAGAAUGAAUUCCUAUGCAUACUGUGGUUUCAUGUGUAACUAAUGUUGUGUCAUGUGUAAAUAUCUGUUAAAGGUUUAUAUCGUAACAUCAUUUGUUAGCCCAGCAAAGGUGUGCUGCACCAUGGCCCGCAUAUUUCAAGAAAAGUGAAACCUAAGUGUGUAAUUUUAAGUAUUUUAUUGUGCCUUUAUUAGGGGUGUGACGGUACACACAUUUCAGAUUUCGGUAAGUACCUUGGUUCAGAGGUUUGGUACAAGUUCAGUACAAAAGGAAAAACAGA